rnacentral:rRNA from 1 species
AUUCGUAACAAGGUCUCCGUAGGUGAACCUGCGGAGGGAUCAUUACACAAAUAUGAAGGCGGGCUGGAACCUCUCGGGGUUACAGCCUUGCUGAAUUAUUCACCCUUGUCUUUUGCGUACUUCUUGUUUCCUUGGUGGGUUCGCCCACCACUAGGACAAACAUAAACCUUUUGUAAUUGCAAUCAGCGUCAGUAACAAAUUAAUAAUUACAACUUUCAACAACGGAUCUCUUGGUUCUGGCAUCGAUGAAGAACGCAGCGAAAUGCGAUAAGUAGUGUGAAUUGCAGAAUUCAGUGAAUCAUCGAAUCUUUGAACGCACAUUGCGCCCUUUGGUAUUCCAAAGGGCAUGCCUGUUCGAGCGUCAUUUGUACCCUCAAGCUUUGCUUGGUGUUGGGCGUCUUGUCUCUAGCUUUGCUGGAGACUCGCCUUAAAGUAAUUGGCAGCCGGCCUACUGGUUUCGGAGCGCAGCACAAGUCGCACUCUCUAUCAGCAAAGGUCUAGCAUCCAUUAAGCCUUUUUUUUCAACUUUUGACCUCGGAUCAGGUAGGGAUACCCGCUGAACUUAAGCAUAUCAAUAAAUUCG